rnacentral:rRNA from 1 species
CAGUAGCCGCGGGAAUACGUAGGGUGCAAGCGUUAAUCGGAAUUACUGGGCGUAAAGCGUGCGCAGGCGGUUUUGUAAGACAGAGGUGAAAUCCCCGGGCUCAACCUGGGAACUGCCUUUGCGACUGCAAGGCUGGAGUGCGGCAGAGGGGGAUGGAAUUCCGCGUGUAGCAGUGAAAUGCGUAGAUAUGCGGAGGAACACCGAUGGCGAAGGCAAUCCCCUGGGCCUGCACUGACGCUCAUGCACGAAAGCGUGGGGAGCAAACAGGAUUAGAUACCCGUGUAGUCCCUGUCUCUUAUAC